GAUGAAGAACGCAGCGAAAUGCGAUAAGUAAUGUGAAUUGCAGAAUUCAGUGAAUCAUCGAAUCUUUGAACGCACAUUGCGCCCGCCAGUAUUCUGGCGGGCAUGCCUGUUCGAGCGUCAUUUCAACCCUCAGGCCCCCAGUGCCUGUUGUUGGGGAUCGGCAGCAGGGCGUCAAGCCCGCCGGCCCCGAAAUCUAGUGGCGGUCUCGCUGUAGUCCUCCUCUGCGUAGUAGCACAACCUCGCAGUUGGAACGCGGCGGUGGCCAUGCCGUUAAACACCCCACUUCUGAAAGUUGACCUCGGAUCAGGUAGGAAUACCCGCUGAACUUAAGCAUAUCAAUAAGCGGAGGA
rnacentral:misc_RNA from 1 species